rnacentral:rRNA from 1 species
UCUAAGCACAUGCCCUUGAACGGUAAAGCCGCGGAAGGCUCAUUACAACAGCCAUAGUUUAUUAGAACUUUCCUUACUUGGAUAACUGUGGUAAUUCUAGAGCUAAUACAUGCACCAAAGCCCCUUCCUUACGGGAGGGGUGCACUUAUUAGAACAAGGCCAAUCGGGCUUUCGGGUCCGUCAUUUGGUGAAUCUGAAUAACCUUGCUGAUCGCAUGGUCUUUAGUACCGGCGACGUAUCUUUCAAAUGUCUGCCUUAUCAACUUUCGAUGGUAGUUUACACGCCUACCAUGGUUGUAACGGGUAACGGAGAAUAAGGGUUCGACUCCGGAGAGGGAGCCUGAGAAACGGCUACCACAUCCAAGGAAGGCAGCAGGCGCGCAAAUUACCCAAUCACAGCAAGUGGAGGUAGUGACGAAAAAUAAUCGAGGCGGUUCUCUUUGAGGCCCGCCAUCGGAAUGGGUACAAUAUAAG